rnacentral:rRNA from 1 species
CCUCGGGGGGCAGCAGUGGGGAAUAUUGGACAAUGGGGGAAACCCUGAUCCAGCAAUGCCGCGUGUGUGAAGAAGGCCUGCGGGUUGUAAAGCACUUUCGGUUGGGAGGACUGCUUCUAGCACUAAUAUUGUUGGAAGUUGACGUUACCUUCAGAAGAAGCACCGGCUAACUCCGUGCCAGCAGCCGCGGUAAUACGGAGGGUGCAGGCGUUAAUCGGAAUUACUGGGCGUAAAGCGCGCGUAGGCGGCUAGAUCAGUCUGGUGUGAAAGCCCCGGGCUUAACCUGGGAACUGCAUCCGAUACUGUCUAGCUUGAGUACAGGAGAGGAGAGUGGAAUUCCACAUGUAGCGGUGAAAUGCGUAGAUAUGUGGAGGAACACCAAUGGCGAAGGCAGCUCUCUGGCCUGAUACUGACGCUGAGGUGCGAAAGCGUGGGGAGCAAACAGGAUUAGAUACCCUAGUAGUC